AUGAUGGUCUCGAGGAAGCGGCGAGUAACAUGUGCCGCCGGCGUAACGUAAAGGAGACAACUCCACGCGCCUGCCGACGGCUGCGUAUGUCGGUUACUACUUAUAUAUUUCUUUUUUCGCGCCACACACUCUCUCUCUAGACUGAGAUAGUAAGAUAUAUAAUAGAGAAGAGGAAUUAGGGCAACGAAAGUUAUGGGGACAAAAUCGAUGUGACGAUGGAUGAGUUGGGUGCAGAGCGAGAUCUCCUAGGGUUUUGACAGAGAGAGAGAGAGAGAGAGAGAGAGAGAGAGAGAGGAGAUCGGAACGAUCGAUGCUCGGAAUUAGGGUUUGCGAUCGCGGGUUUGACGAGUCCUUGAUGGACUUGAGAAUUGGGUAAAGAGCUUCACAUAGCGAAAGUUGCUAUCUUUGAGUAAGAUCUGGUCUUAGAUUGCAAUCACAUUUUUGGUGGAAACAAGGAAAUGGCAUCGAUGGUCGACCCUCCAAAUGGCAUUCGAACGAAGGGGAAACAUUACUUCACAAUGUGGCAGAGUAUUUUUGAGAUUGAUCUUAAGUAUGUUCCUAUCAAGCCUAUUGGAAGAGGAGCUUACGGGAUUGUAUGUUCUUCAAUAAACAGAGAAACAAAUGAGAAAGUUGCAAUCAAGAAAAUAAACAAUGUCUUCGAUAAUCGCAUUGAUGCGCUUCGAACUUUGAGGGAGCUGAAGCUUCUUCGACAUCUACGCCAUGAGAAUGUUAUUGCUUUGAAGGAUAUCAUGAUGCCUAUCCACAGGAGGAGCUUCAAGGAUGUCUACCUGGUUUAUGAGCUCAUGGAUACUGAUCUGCAUCAAAUUAUUAAAUCAUCUCAGCCACUUUCCAAUGACCAUUGUCAGUACUUCCUGUUUCAGUUGCUUCGAGGAUUAAAGUAUCUACACUCAGCAAAUAUUCUUCACCGAGACUUGAAGCCUGGUAACCUCCUAAUCAACGCUAACUGUGACCUCAAGAUAUGUGACUUUGGUUUGGCUCGAACUAGGAAUAGAAAAGAUCAGUUCAUGACUGAAUAUGUUGUUACCCGCUGGUACCGAGCUCCUGAGCUUCUUCUUUGCUGUGAUAACUAUGGAACCUCUAUAGAUGUUUGGUCUGUAGGCUGUAUCUUUGCUGAGCUCCUCGGCCGAAAGCCUAUUUUCCCUGGCACGGAGUGCCUCAACCAGUUAAAGCUUAUUGUCAACGUACUUGGAACUCUGGAUGAUGCUGAUCUUAGCUUCAUUGAUAAUCCAAAGGCACAUAGGUACAUCAAGUCUCUACCAUUCUCCCCUCCAAUUCCUCUGAGUACCCUUUAUCCAAAUGCAAACCCAUUGGCUAUCGACUUGCUUCAAAAAAUGCUCGUCUUUGAUCCAUCUAAGAGAAUUAGUGUUACAGAAGCAUUACAGCAUCCUUAUAUGUCUCCCCUUUAUGACCCGAGUGCCAAUCCUCCAGCUCAAGUCCCUAUUGACCUUGACAUUGAUGAAGAUCUUGGAGAAGAUAUGAUCAGGGAGCUGAUGUGGAGGGAGAUGCUUUACUACCAUCCAGAAUCUGCAUCCUCCAACAACUGUUAAAAUCAUUUGGUGAUGAGUCGACAUUCAUUUUCACCACUUUAUAAGCGUAGAAUGAUGCCUAUAACCUAUCAAGUGCCAGCGCAUUCUUUAUGCCAUAUCAACGUUCACCGUCACCACUUUAAAGUGUAGAAUUGUGGAAAUCUUUACCAGCGUGGGGAGACCAAUUGCAGGGUGUUUCAGCGAUAUCUGUACUGUGCUUAGACGGUGCAACAUUUGGAAAUAAUUAAUGGAAUUAAUCCGGGAGGGUUUUUUUGUCUUGAAAUCUGAUUCGUUACUUCAAGUAGAUUUUUGGAGUAUUUAUCAAAAGGAACAAACGUAGAUUAAAUUCUUUUGAAUUUGUCCGAUUGAGAUAUC